GGAGGAGUGGCAGAGCGGUUGAAUGCAGCAGUCUUGAAAACUGCCGUGGGUUAAUAGCCCACCGUGAGUUCGAAUCUCACCUCCUCCACCA
rnacentral:tRNA from 1 species